rnacentral:sRNA from 1 species
AUCUGAAUUUUCAGUAGUGAGAAUGAUGAUAAACGGAUUCGGAAAAAAGAAAUAUGAUGAGAAAAGUGGAUGUCAAAAAAAUA